UGCAGGGGCAGACACAAAACUGGGCCCACCAAAGCUGUGCCCAGCUGCUACUGGCUUGUCUUGGAGUGCUAGCAAAAUCCUGGUAGAGAAACCGUGGAGCUGUUAGCUCAUCUCUGACGCUGCACGUUAUAGAUACCUCUGAAACUUUGUUGCAACCUGGAGAAAGUGCUUAUGCCUGCAUGUGGAAGCAGUAGAAAAAUGCAGUAAACAUUAAGAACUUUGAGAAGUUCAGGUGAUGUUUUGUGAGUUUGAUGACCACUUAUUUGAUUCAUGAAGCAAUACAGUCUUGCAAGCUACAGUUAUCUUGGUCCUCAACUAGCUCUUCUGUGGGUUGGUAAAAGUGCUGGCUAAAGCGAGCGAGUGCUGUCAGCAGAAAUGCAGAAAAAGUGAUCUAAGUACAGAAGUUGGUGGCAGGACAGAUACAACAUUUGGAUGAAAAACCCUGAGUAAUGGACAAGUGGAGGCAAUGUGGAGUGCACAUGGAUGUUAACCAACAGUGGCUCUGUUUCUGCUGAUCAGAAAACUGAGCACUUCUGAACAGUUUUCACACCAUUGAAGUAGCACUGCAGAUACAUGCGGAUCCCAUGAGAUGGCAACUGGGAUGAAGGUUAACAUGAGCAUGCCUGAUUACUCUGUCCUGCUGAUAACAUGCAAGCAACAGCUGGAAUCCAAAUCAUUUAACAUGUAACAAGUAUUCAAAAUGCUUAAAUGAUUUUAGAUCAUAUUUUGUCAAGUUUGGUGCCAACCUGCUUCUCAAAUCCUUGAAUACUUGCUGGUCCACGUGAUUUCUGCUGUAGGCAGCUGUUACUUCAAAAAGUAAGUCAAAUGAA